GUUCCCUUUGGGGACAUUCAAUAAAAUUGGAAUGAUACAGAGAAGAUUAACACGGCUCUGCGCAAGGAUCACAUGAACAAAUCGAGAAAUGGUCCAAAUUUUU